rnacentral:rRNA from 1 species
UAGGGAAUCUUCCGCAAUGGGCGAAAGCCUGACGGAGCAACGCCGCGUGAGUGAAGAAGGAUUUCGGUUCGUAAAGCUCUGUUGUUAGGGAAGAAUGAUUGUGUAGUAACUAUACACAGUAGAGACGGUACCUAACCAGAAAGCCACGGCUAACUACGUGCCAGCAGCCGCGGUAAUACGUAGGUGGCAAGCGUUGUCCGGAAUUAUUGGGCGUAAAGCGCGCGCAGGUGGUUUAAUAAGUCUGAUGUGAAAGCCCACGGCUCAACCGUGGAGGGUCAUUGGAAACUGUUAAACUUGAGUGCAGGAGAGAAAAGUGGAAUUCCAUGUGUAGCGGUGAAAUGCGUAGAUAUAUGGAGGAACACCGGUGGCGAAAGCGGCUCUCUGGCUUGUAACUGACGCUGAGGCUCGAAAGCGUAGGGAGCAAACAGGAUUAGAUACCCUGGUAGUCCACGCUGUAAACGAUGAGUGCUAGGUGUUAGACCCUUUCCGGGGUUUAGUGCCGUAGCUAACGCAUUAAGCACUCCGCCUGGGGAGUACGACCGCAAGGUUG